rnacentral:rRNA from 1 species
GACAGAGGGGUGCAAACGUUGCUCGGUAAUCACUGGGCGUAAAGGGCGUGUAGGCGGGCAGGUAAGUCGGGCGUGAAAUCCCUGGGCUCAACCCAGGAACUGCACUCGAAACUACUUGUCUUGAGUACCGGAGAGGAAAGCCGGAAUUCCUGGUGUAGAGGUGAAAUUCGUAGAUAAUCGAGGAGGAACACCGAUGGAGCGAAGGCAAUCCCCGUGGACCUGUCACUGAC